UACGGAGGGUGCGAGCGUUAUUCGGAAUUACUGGGCGUGAAGGGCGCGUAGGCGGCCUAAUCAGUCUGAUGUGAAAGCCCUGGGCUUAACCUGGGAAUGGCAUUGGAUACUGUUGGGCUAGAGUUUGAUAGAGGGGAGUGGAAUUUCCGGUGUAGCGGUGAAAUGCGUAGAGAUCGGAAGGAACACCAGUGGCGAAGGCGACUCUCUGGAUUAAAACUGACGCUGAGGUGCGAAAGCGUGGGUAGCAAACAGG
rnacentral:rRNA from 1 species